rnacentral:tRNA from 1 species
GGUAGCUCAGUUGGUAGUAGCGUCUGACUGUUAAUCAGAAUGUCACAGGUUCAAGUCCUGUCC